rnacentral:rRNA from 1 species
GACGAACCGUGCGACCGUUGUUCGGAAUCACUGGGCUUAAAGGGCGCGUAGGCGGGCCGGCCGGUCCGGGGUGAAAGCCCCCCGCUCAACGGGGGAAGUGCCCCGGAUACCGCCGGCCUGGAGGCGGGUAGGGGCGUGCGGAACUGUGGGUGGAGCGGUGAAAUGCGUUGAUAUCCACAGGAACGCCGGUGGCGAAGGCGGCACGCUGGACCCCACCUGACGCUGAGGCGCGAAAGCCAGGGGAGCGAACGGG